UACAGAGGGUGCGAGCGUUGUUCGGAAUUAUUGGGCGUAAAGCGCUUGUAGGCGGCACGUCAAGUCGCGUGUGAAAUCCCCAGGCUUAACCUGGGAAGUGCGCGCGAAACUGACGAGCUUGAGUGCCGGAGAGGGUCGCGGAAUUCCCGGUGUAGAGGUGAAAUUCGUAGAUAUCGGGAGGAACACCAGUGGCGAAGGCGGCGGCCUGGACGGACACUGACGCUGAGACGCGAAAGCGUGGGGAGCAAACAGG
rnacentral:rRNA from 1 species